rnacentral:rRNA from 1 species
AUUGAACGCUGGCGGCAGGCCUAACACAUGCAAGUCGAACGAGUGGCGGACGGGUGAGUAAUGUCUGGGAAACUGCCUGCUGGAGGGGGUUAACUACUGGAAACGGUAGCUAAUACCGCAUACCAUCGGAUGAGCCCAGAUGGGAUUAUCUAGUAGGUGGGGGAAAGGCUCACCAAGGCGACGAUCCCUAGCUGGUCUGAGAGGAUGACCAGUCACACUGGAACGGAGACACGGUCCAGACUCCUACGGGAGGCAGCAGUGGGGAAUAUUGCACAAUGGGCGAAAGCCUGAUGCAGCCAUGCCGCGUGUAUGAAGAAGGUCUUCGGGUUGUAAAGUACUUUCAGCGGGGAGGCGUUACCAGCAGAAGAAGCACCGGCUAACUCCGUGCCAGCAGCCGCGGUAAUAC